rnacentral:rRNA from 1 species
UAAACUAGGAUUAGAUACCCUAUUAUUUUUAAUUUAAAUUUAAAAUACUAAAUUAGUAUUAGUUAAGUUCUUGAAAAUUAAAAAAUUUGGCGGUAUUUUAGUCUUUUCAGAGGAACUUGUCCUGUAAUUGAUAACCCACGAUUAGGUGUACUUUUAUUAUUAAUUUACAUAUCGUCGUAGUUUGAAUAUUUUAAUAGAAAAUUAAAUAUUCAAAAUUUUAUAUUAAAAAAUAAAUCAGAUCAAGGUGUAGUUUAUAUGAAAGUAGAGAUGAGUUACAAUAAAAUUAUUUUAGGAUAAUUUUUAUUAUAAAAAUUUGAAUUUGGAUUUGAUAGUAAUUUUAUAUAUUUAUUUAAAAUGAUUAAAGCUCUAAAAUAUGCACACAUCGCCCGUCGCUCUUAA